AUUGAACGCUGGCGGCAUGCCUUACACAUGCAAGUCGAACGGCAGCACGGUAGGAUGUAGCUGUUACGGAGUGGGAGAGGGGGGCGUGUUAGAUAGACACAGGAACUGACGUGGGCGAGAGGGAGACGGUAGGCGGAUUAAUACCACAACCGCUCACCAGCUACGGGCGAAAGAAGGUGGGGCUCCGAGCUUGCGGGAUUGACGGAGGCGAUGUCGGAUUAGCUAGUUGGCGGGGUAAAGGCCCACCAAGGCGACGAUCCGUAGCUGGUCUGAGAGGAGGACCAGCCACACUGGGACUGAGACACGGUCCAGACUCCUACGGGAGGCAGCAGUGGGGAAUAUUGGACAAUGGGCGAAAGCCUGAUCCAGCAAUGCCGCGUGUGUGAAGAAGGCCUUCGGGUUGUAAAGCACUUUUGUUCGGAAAGAAAACCAGGGCCUUAAUACCGUCGUGUGAUGACGGUACCGAAAGAAUAAGCACCGGCUAACUACGUG
rnacentral:rRNA from 1 species